AGCAGCCGCGGUAAUUCCAGCUCCAAUAGCGUAUAUUAAAGUUGUUGCAGUUAAAAAGCUCGUAGUUGAAUUUCGGGGUUCUACCGUUGGUCAGGCUAUUGUCUGUACUGGUGUGUAGAAUUUCUACCUUCUGGGGAACUAUCAUGUUAUUAAUUUAGCGUGGUAGGAAACCAGGACCUUUACCUUGAAAAAAUUAGAGUGUUCAAAGCAGGCUUAUGUCUGAAUACAUUAGCAUGGAAUAAUAAAAUAGGACGGUGGUCCUGUUUUGUUGGUUUCUGAAUCACCGUAAUGAUUAAUAGGGAUAGUUGGGGGCAUUAGUAUUCAAUUGUCAGAGGUGAAAUUCUUGGAUUUAUUGAAGACUAACUACUGCGAAAGCAUUUGCCAAGGAUGUUUUCAUUAAUCAAGAACGAAAGUUAGGGGAUCGAAGACGAUCAGAUACCGUCGUAGUCUUAACCAUAAACUAUGCCGACUAGGGAUCGGAUGAUGUUAAUUUUUUAAUGACUCAUUCGGCGCCUUACGG
rnacentral:rRNA from 1 species